CACUAAAUGGCUGAAAAAAGGUGAUAGUCUCUUAAACUAAUUUAUGAAUUAAUUUCUUUAGUGA
rnacentral:tRNA from 1 species